ACAAGCAAGCAGGUAAAGACUUGUUAAAGGGCCGGUGAAGGGGGUGGAUGCGGGGAAGUCAUAAACUCCAUGUCCCCUGGACAUGAUUGGCAGCUCCUCACCUUGAGGUGGCCCAGGGGCCAGGACCAUGGGGCCGGGGCAGGGGUGUGUGUGUGUGUGUGUGUGGUAUGUGUGUGUGUGCGCACGUGGCCGGGGCAGGGGUGUGUGUGUGUGUGUGGGGUGUGUGUGUGUGUGUG